rnacentral:lncRNA from 1 species
UGGAAAUCCCUCAAUAAAUAUCUAAGAAUCAGAUAUUCAUUCAUUCAUUCAUUUUAUAUCUGAACUUAUUACUAUGUACCACUAUUCUCAGUCUCUUAGAGCUUACAGUCUAGACAGGAGGACAAAUGAACCAUUAAAUGAAGAUGAGUGCUUUGAUAAAGUACAGCAUAUUAUAGGAGAUCUAUAAUAAUAUUUGAAAUAUAAUUACUAAUAUUUUGAGCAUUAGGUACUUUAUAGAUAUUAUUGCAUUUAUUUCUUUACAAUGUGAGGAGAUACCAUUACUAUUGUUGUUUAUGGUUAAAACAGCCACUCGCUCAAGGUCUCACAAUAAUUAAUGCACUUUAAGUACCUGAAUAAGCAAUGAUUAACGUUGUUCAUGAAAGUUACUAAAACAAGAACUGGUAGUUUUACCCCAGAUGAGAUAAUGUAGAAUGAAAAGAAUGUAAAAUCUCCAGAAGAAAGCCCACAUGAGAUGAGCAUAGAGGUUGCUCCACGAGCACACAGAGGUUCUCACUAGAUUCCUAGGGAAGAAAAACCAGAGGUGACAGCAGAACCACUCCACAACCCUAGUCCACUGCAUAAGCUCUUAGAGUAAAGCUCCGAGUUCCCAUUCCAGAGGGUGG